GACAGAGGAUCAUGCAACAUAUCCUACCGGCACGACAAUUUUUAUUUCAGUUCUUCUGCAACAAUGAGCCUUGGAUAAAAGCUUGGAAGUGCCUUAUGCCCUGGCAUGCAUUUGUACUCUUCACACCAAAAUAAGACACAAAUAUACAGUGUUUUCCUGCCGAAGUUGAAAAGUAAUUGGUGAGCACAUACUGUCAUAAGCAUACACAGGCUGCUAACUGAUUCCUAACAGAUAACUAUAGCCUUGCCCAUGCUAUUAGUCUCCAGCAGAAUGAAAUGAGUAUUAUGUCUUGGGGGAUCUAAUUCACAAAUGUACAGUAGAAAGGAUCUUAGCACCUUUCUUAAGUUAAUUAUAGAAACUACAGACUGAGUUUUUAACUU